AUAUUUUACGAGAGAAAAUUGAUCUCAACCGCAAUGAUAUUAUUUUGCGAGAAAAAGAAAUUUCUCAAUCGCAAAUGUUGUGCGAGAAAACUUAAUCUCAAUCGCAAAACAAUGUCGUUGUACUAAUAGGACAUGUUAUAGGAAUUGCUAAAAAGCAAACACAUUGAACAUGCCACAUACAAUAACCACAUAUUUUCUGGAAUGUUACACUCAACAGAAAAUGCAGUAAUUAACAGGGUUUAAAAUAGGAAAAUUACACUGCUAGAAUUGCUGUUAGAUUUAAGCAAAUAAUGCAAAUUAGCAGGAGCUCCUGGUGGCUCAACCGCAUGCAAACAUGCCACGUAGGGCAGCCCGGCCACGUGCAGCUUGGUCAACCCAAUGGAUAAGGAAGAGUAGACAGGGAUAUCCAUAGAAGGAGUAGAUUCGAUCCCCAAUCCACAUGACCAAGACCGGAGGGACUCCAGUCGCGCUCUUCCUCGGAGGCACCUACGGCCGGUCGUCCGCAUAACGGGCGACGGGAGGAACUCCAGCCGCGCUAUUCAUCGUCAGAGUCGUCGGGGAGGCGAAUGCCAGGCACGGCCCAAGCGCUGCUGGGCCCCAAGUUCUCUCGCGGGCAGUGCGGCUGGUCGACGGCGGGCUGCGGUUGCUCGACGCUGUGAAGGCGGAGGCCACGAGGCGCCUGCAAGUGCCAGUGUGCGGCGAGGGUGCCGCGGUGGCGCGGGGCCGGGCGAGGCCUGGUGCAGGGCGGGCGCGCGCGAGGGCGGCCUCGGCCUGGCGCAGGGGCCCGACCACGGGUGUGGCGCGGGCACGGCCGUGCGGCGGGGGCGCUUUGGCGCGACUGCAUCAACAUCAACGACUGCGGCGUCGGAGGAGCCGCUCAUGACGCGCAUGCCGAAGGGCGACCCUGUAGAGGGCCGGCGCCACCGAUCUGCGCAGAUGCGCGUUUCCGUCGCGGGACGCGAAGCCGGUGGUUCCGGUCGCCCAGUCCAGCGCGGGAUCGAGGCCAGACGCUGAUGGCAAGAUGGCGAUGAGCGCCACCACCAGUCCAGCGAAGAUGGUAAUGAAGAAUCGAAGUGACAGUUAGAGACCGAGAGAUUUGUCGUCGUGGCCGUGCACGGCGCGAAGAUGCCUAUUGGAAGCGCUUUCGCCGGGCUGAGGACCGCCGCGCCACCACGCCGAACCAACGGCUGUAGCCGUCGAACUCGCAGGCGAGCGAUGCUGCAGCCAGGAGCCGUCGCGCUGACUGAAUCGCUCCGCCAUGAGCCGUCUUGCCGAUGGAAUCGCUCCACCGUAAACGAGAGACAAUCGAAUAAAUGAUUGGACUGUCGAUUCCAUUGAAUGAUUCUCGGUAUAUAUACAAGGGAACAGACAUGAUCGAGAGAUGCGACCCUUCGUAGACAUGAAGGGGGGAGAGGCGCGACGGUUGCCACUGCAACCGACGUACAGAUUACAAGGGAAGGAUUAUCUCUUUAAUUAACCUAUUAAUUUAAUCCUAACAGAUCUUUAGACGUAGAGAAAGAUCCAUUCAGACAAAGGGAUGAUGAAGAAGAGGUGUUGGGACCUGAAGUUCCAUACCUUAGUGCUGUUGGAGCGCUUAUGUAUCUUGCAAAUUGCACAAGACCUGAUAUUGCAUUUGCAGUGAAUCUACUUGCUAGACAUAGCGCAACUCCCACCAAACGUCAUUGGUCUGGAGUGAAGAAUAUCUUUCGAUAUCUUCAAGGCACAAAGGAUCUUGGCCUAUUUUUUCAGUUCUAGAAAAAUCAGAACUCUGAUA